AUACUUACUGAAAAAAAUGUAAGUACUUAUUUUCCCCGCUGUAAGUAGUGUAUGCCAUUAUCAUUGAGGGUUGCUAUGUGAGUUGAGGCCGAUUGUUUGUUUGUUUGUUUGUUUUUUUGGUGGGUGGGGGAGUGUACUGACGGUACUCUGUGACCUCGAGAAACAGAGAUGUGAAAAAUCACCGUGGAUUUCUCCUUUAGCAGGGGCGCCUGCAGGAAUUAAUGCUAUGGGUCUACCCAACUCAUUAAAGCUGAUUGGCUGGCGAGGGCCAAGUCCCUCCCCUCACCCCAGACACUGGUGGUCUGCUGUUGGACCACCAUCACUUAAAAAAUGGCCGAUGUCCAGACCUCAGUGUCCUUAUAGCUGGCUACAGGGCCGGUCUAAAAUAGUGCAUUUUAGGGCACCUAACACUGGUGUUGGAAAUGUGGAAAUGUGUGGAAAAUGGCUAAAAAGAUACAAAAUGUUUGCUUUUUCACCUAAACUAUCGUUUCCAUGUGAAUUGGCCCAUUAGUUUCUUUGUUUAUUUUAUUUACUAAGGAGUAAACUUAUUUUUGUGUGUGUGUGUGUGUGUAAUUAGACUGCUUUUUUUCCACAUGAGGGAAGCCUAUUGGGACAAAUCUAAGGACGCAUUUGAAUUGCUCUGGCAGAUCUGUCUGGUCACUCUCCCAUUGUCGGUGAUUUCCAAAAUCACAAAAAUGCCAGGAAACAAUCAUAACUGUAUUGGAAUGUCUUUAUAUUAUGAUAGACAGAGGAGGACAGUUGGCACUUUUGUACACUAGCAAUGGCUGUUCUGGUUAAAACCUUAGAACCUUCAUGUGCAAGAAAGAUUUGUUUGUAUGUAUUGUACUGACUUUAGUUUGAUAACACUGAUGGUUAACCCCCUUGGAAAUCAAAAGUGUAUUGAGAGUCCAGACCAACUCUCAUUUGAGAAUUGUGUGGUAGCCCAUGGAAAAUAGACAAUAUGAAACAUGUUAUACAUAGGAUACAUGUUACAGUUUUUUUCAGUUGCUUUGGCACAUUUCCCAGAUAAUUUCUCAGAAGAUGCUUUUGAGGCAUACACAAAGCAUUCUGAACAAGAUUAUGCACUUUUGCAGGUAUAUCACUAUAUGUGGUGCAGUUAGCUCUAAUUGUUUUGAGAAAUACACUAACUGUUGUGCAAAUGUUAAUAAUGAUUUGAGAAAUGCACCAAAGCGACUGAGAAAAACUGUAGUUAUCUGAGAAAAGCAAAUACAUAGCUCACCGAAAACAAUGUUGACAAUAGAAUGGAGAGGGGGAAUGUGGCAUUCUUCUUUUGAAAUACCUUUGCCUUGUUGACCUGCAAAGUUGAAGCAAAGAAAUAAUAUGUACUGUUAAAGACAAGUUUCCAUGUAUCAUGAAACUUGUCCACUCUGAAUACAGAAGAGAUAAACAAAUAGAAUAAAUAGAUACAUAUAUAAAUGAUCAAAUAAAUACAAUUGAUGCAAAGAUACAGGUGCUGGUCAUACAAUUAGAAUAUCAUCAAAAAGUUGAUUUAAGUCAGUAAUUCCAUUCAAAAAGUGAAACUUGUAUAUUAUAUUCAUUCAUUACACACAGACUGAUAUAUUUCAAAUGUUCUUUUUGGUACUCAUAUUCUAUUGUUGAAUGACAUUGUCAUGAUAUUGUUUUUUUUACUGUUGUUUGAAGGUUCAAGUUCAAGCAGUUUAUUGUAAACCUUACAUCUACAUAUUGCAGACAUCCAGACAAAGCCAUGCAAUCCUAAUCAUAAAUUUAAAUCCACUGAAAUAAUAUAUUUCUAUAAUAUAUUAUACUUAAGUGCUUGAUUAUAUUUUGCAUAUUCACAUACCAUAAUCAUACUGGUUGUUAUAGAGAUUUCUAUGCUUGAAAUUUCUUCAUGAAUUAAAAGUGUUACUCACCUGUG